AAAGUCGUAACAAGGUUUCCGUAGGUGAACCUGCGGAAGGAUCAUUACAGAGUUCAUGCCCUUCGGGGUAGAUCUCCCACCCUUGUGUAUCAUUAUAGAAUGUUGCUUUGGCGGGCCGCGUGCCUAGCACGCCUGGAUUCGCGUCCGGCGUGCCCGCCAGAGGACCCCUAAACUCUGAAUAUUAGUGUCGUCUGAGUACUAUUAAAUAGUUAAAACUUUCAACAACGGAUCUCUUGGUUCUG
rnacentral:misc_RNA from 1 species